CAGUCGCCGCGGUAAUACGAAGGGGGCUAGCGUUGCUCGGAAUGACUGGGCGUAAAGGGCGCGUAGGCGGCGAUCAAAGUCAGGCGUGAAAUUCCUGGGCUCAACCUGGGGGCUGCGUUUGAUACUUGAUUGCUAGAGUGGGGAAGAGGGUCGUGGAAUUCCCAGUGUAGAGGUGAAUUUCGUAGAUAUUGGGAAGAACACCGGUGGCGAAGGCGGCGACCUGGUCCUUGACUGACGCUGAGGCGCGAAAGCGUGGGGAGCAAACAGGAUUAGAUACCCCAGUAGUCCCUGUCUCUUAUAA
rnacentral:rRNA from 1 species